CUGGGCCUCCUCCGCCCAGUGCUUCCCCCCUCACCCAGGAACGCUGGAGUUUUUGGCCCUCACCUUCUCCCAGUCUUCUGAUACCCUGAGCUGGGUUUUUGGCCCUAACCUUCACCAUGGCUGGGUCUGGCCGCCUCUGAGAGUUCCAUGGGACCCCCUCUCACAGUGGGGCAAGAGCAUGCCAGAGCUGGCAGAGGCAGGUGCUCAGGGGGUCUGAGUGGAGCCCUGGGACCCCAGCUGAGGCUGGCCUGUCUGCAUGGAAGUGGUGGGCAGCUUCAGGGGACAGCAGAGGAACAUGAGCUCUGGAGUCAGAUACAGUGGAUUCAAUCCCAGCCCGUGCUGGGGCGAGCGCCCUCUCCUCUCUAAGCCUGUUGCCUCAUCUGGAAAAUGCAGAUAAUGUGUUUGGAAGCAUCAUAUCCGUCAGCCACGAGGAGAUAAAUUGGUGCCCAGCAGUGCCUGUCCCAGAGCUGGUGGCUGCGAGGGCUGUGUGCUCCUCCCCCCUGCCUCCGCACUGCAGAUCAGGGGCAGAGGAGGGGCCGCCUCUCUUCCUCUGGCAUUCCCAAGCUCUCCACGCCUCCCGCCUCUCGCACUCGGAGCCGCCCUCGGCCACACCAUCGCCAGCACUCAGCGUGGAGAGCCUGUCAUCCGAGAGCUCCAGCCAGACUGCAGGUGGGGAGCUUCUGGAGCCGCCAGCUGUGCCCAAGAGCUCCUCAGAGCCUGCUGUCCAUGCCCCUGGUACCCCUGGAAACCCUGUCAGCCUCUCUACCAACUCCUCCCUGGCCUCCUCUGGGGAACUAGUGGAGCCUAGAGUGGAACAAAUGCCUCAAGCCAGCCCUGGCCUUGCCCCCAGGACCAGGGGCAGCUCAGGUCCCCAGCCAGCCAAGCCCUGCAGUGGCGCCACCCCCACGCCUCUCUUGUUGGUUGGAGACAGGAGCCCGGUGCCUUCCCCUGGAAGCUCGUCCCCACAGCUCCAGGUAAAGUCCUCCUGCAAGGAGAAUCCUUUUAACCGGAAGCCAUCGCCUGCAGCGUCCCCAGCCACAAAGAAGGCCACCAAGGGAUCCAAGCCAGUGAGGCCACCUGCCCCUGGACACGGCUUUCCACUCAUCAAACGCAAGGUCCAGGCUGACCAGUACAUCCCUGAGGAGGACAUCCACGGAGAGAUGGACACCAUUGAGCGCCGGCUGGAUGCCCUGGAGCACCGUGGGGUGCUGCUGGAGGAGAAGCUGCGUGGCGGCCUGAAUGAGGGCCGUGAGGAUGACAUGCUGGUGGACUGGUUCAAGCUCAUCCACGAGAAGCACCUACUGGUGCGGCGAGAGUCCGAGCUCAUCUAUGUCUUCAAGCAGCAGAACCUGGAGCAGCGCCAGGCUGAUGUCGAGUACGAGCUCCGGUGCCUCCUCAAUAAGCCAGAAAAGGACUGGACGGAGGAGGACAGGGCCCGGGAGAAGGUGCUGAUGCAGGAGCUUGUGACCCUCAUUGAGCAGCGCAACGCUAUCAUCAACUGCCUGGAUGAGGACCGGCAGAGGGAGGAAGAGGAAGACAAGAUGUUGGAAGCCAUGAUCAAGAAGAAAGAGUUCCAGAGGGAGGCUGAACCCGAGGGCAAGAAGAAGGGGAAGUUCAAGACCAUGAAGAUGUUGAAACUGCUAGGAAACAAACGUGAUGCCAAGAGCAAGUCCCCCAGAGACAAGAGCUAACAGCACGAGAAGCCAGUUGGGGACUGCCCCCUCCUGGACCAGCUCCUGGGCUGUGCUCUGUUUGAAGGGGGCGCCCUGCUCCCUUCAGAUCAGUCAGGAGGAAGAUGACUAAGGGGAGGGAUCCUCUGGGUGAUGGCCUCUUCCUCCUCAGGGACCUCUGACUGCUCUGGGCCAAAGAGUCUCUUGUUUAUUCUCCAAGCCCCAGGCAGCGGUGAUUCAGCCCUGCCCAACCUGAUUCUGAUGACUGCGGAUGCUGUGACUGACCCAAGGGGCAAAUAGGGUCCCAGGGUCCAGGGAGGGGCGCCUGCUGAGCACAUCCGCCCCCUCACCCUGCCCAGGCCCUGCCAUGAGCUCUGGCCUGGGUCUCCGCCUCCAGGGUUCUGCUCUUCCAGGCAGGUCAGCAAUUGGCGCUGGGCCACACUGGCUUCUUCCUGCCCCAUCCCUGGCUCUGAGUCUCUGUCUUCCUGUCCUGUGCAGGCGCCCCUGGAUCUCAGUUUCCCUCACUCAGGAACUCUGUUUCUGAAGUCUUCAGUUAAGUUUGAGUUUAUGACUGAGUGACGUGAAUGGGCCUGACAGGCAAAUCCAUCCCUCUCUCCCUCAUAGUUCCAGGAGCGGCUUCCCUUGUCUCCCCUUACUCCACAGGGAGCCUCCCUUGCCAGGACCAGGGCUGCGAUGGCCAUGCUGGGGCAGGCCUUCCUCUGCCGCCCCGGUCCAGGGAAGAGGCUCGCUCCCGCCCAUGGUCAUCACUGGUCUGUCUGCUCUGUUGUCUGUUCUCUCCCUGACUCCCUCCCACUGAAGGCCUGAUGGCCACUCACCCCUCUGGGAUGGCUGUGGGAGAGGAGGAGUGAUGGGGACCAUCACCUUUUCUGCAGGAAAUGUGCCCAGCAGCUCUUGGUCAAAGCACUGUUGCUAUAAGCUAUCUCUGGGAUGCCUCUAGGCCCCCUUCCCUCUACACACCUCUGGGAAAAGAUCACACUGUAUUAACUCUCGAGGAGUUUCCUCACCAAUAAACAGACAACCUCAACUGCCA
rnacentral:sRNA from 1 species